rnacentral:rRNA from 1 species
GUACACUCCUGCGGGAGGCAGCAGUGGGGAAUAUUGCACAAUGGGCGCAAGCCUGAUGCAGCCAUGCCGCGUGUAUGAAGAAGGCCUUCGGGUUGUAAAGUACUUUCAGCGGGGAGGAAGGCAAUACGGUUAAUAACCGUGUUGAUUGACGUUACCCGCAGAAGAAGCACCGGCUAACUCCGUGCCAGCAGCCGCGGUAAUACGGAGGGUGCAAGCGUUAAUCGGAAUUACUGGGCGUAAAGCGCACGCAGGCGGUCUGUCAAGUCGGAUGUGAAAUCCCCGGGCUCAACCUGGGAACUGCAUUCGAAACUGGCAGGCUUGAGUCUUGUAGAGGGGGGUAGAAUUCCAGGUGUAGCGGUGAAAUGCGUAGAGAUCUGGAGGAAUACCGGUGGCGAAGGCGGCCCCCUGGACAAAGACUGACGCUCAGGUGCGAAAGCGUGGGGAGCAAACAGGAUUAGAUACCCCAGUAGUCCC